UACGUAGGGGGCAAGCGUUGUCCGGAUUAUUGGGCGUAAAGAGCGUGUAGGCGGCCAGGUAGGUCUGCUGUGAAAACUCGAGGCUUAACCUCGAGCUGUUGGCGGAAACCAUCUGGCUAGAGUCCGGGAAGAGGAGAAUGGAAUUCCCGGUGUAGCGGUGAAAUGCGCAGAUAUCGGGAAGAACACCCGUGGCGAAGGCGGUUCUCUGGGCCUUACCUGCACUGAGGAGCGAAAGCCGUGGGGAGCGAACAGG
rnacentral:rRNA from 1 species